rnacentral:lncRNA from 1 species
UUAUAUACUAUAUUCUACAGCCCUAACUUUACCAGUAAAUAUCCUUGGAAAUAUGCCUCAGAAUUCUUUUUUUUUUUUUUUUUUUUUGAGACGGAGUCUCGCUCUGUCGCCCAGGCUGGAGUGCAGUGGCGCGAUCUCGGCUCACUACAAGCUCCGCCUCCCGGGUUCACGCCAUUCUCCUGCCUCAGCCUCCCGCGUAGCUGGGACUACAGGCGCCCGCCACCACGCCCAGCUAAUUUUUUUGUGUUUUUUAGUAGAGACGGGGUUUCACUGUGUUAGCCAGGAUGGUCUCGAUCUCCUGACCUCGUGAUCCGCCCGCCUCGGCCUCCCAAAGUGCUGGGAUUACAGGCGUGAGCCACC